rnacentral:rRNA from 1 species
UACGUAGGGUGCAAGCGUUGUCCGGAAUUAUUGGGCGUAAAGAGCUCGUAGGCGGUUUGUCGCGUCUGCUGUGAAAAAUCCAGGGCUUAACCCUGGACCUGCAGUGGGUACGGGGCAGACUGGAGUGCGGUAGGGGAAGAUCGGAAUUCCUGGUGUAGGCGGUGAAAAUUGCGCAGAUAUCAAGGAGGAACACCGGUGGCGAAGGCGGAUCUCUGGGCCGUAACUGACGCUGAGGAGCGAAAGCAUGGGGAGCGAAACAGG